AGGACGAACGCUGGCGGCGUGCUUAACACAUGCAAGUCGAGCGGAAAGGCCCUUCGGGGUACUCGAGCGGCGAACGGGUGAGUAACACGUGAGCAACCUGCCCUUAGCUCCGGGAUAGCUCCGGGAAACCGGAAUUAAUACCGGAUAUGACCUAGGCCGACAUCGGCUGUGGGUGGAAAGUUUUUCGGCUGGGGAUGGACUCGCGGCCUAUCAGCUUGUUGGUGGGGUAAUGGCCUACCAAGGCGACGACGGGUAGCCGGCCUGAGAGGGCGACCGGCCACACUGGGACUGAGACACGGCCCAGACUCCUACGGGAGGCAGCAGUGGGGAAUCUUGCGCAAUGGGCGAAAGCCUGACGCAGCGACGCCGCGUGGGGGAUGAAGGCCUUCGGGUUGUAAACCCCUUUCAGCAGGGACGAAGCGAAAGUGACGGUACCUGCAGAAGAAGCGCCGGCUAACUACGCGCCAGCAGCCGC
rnacentral:rRNA from 1 species